UAGCUAGAGAACUGUUAGGGAGUAUGUACUUCGGCCAGAAAAAGAAAAGUGGUGCAUGGUUGUCGUCAGCUAGAGAAGUGAGAUGUUGGGUUAAGUCCCGCAACGAGCGCAACCCUUAUUACUAGUUGCCAGCAUUCAGUUGGGCACUCUAGUGAGACUGCCGGUGACAAACCGGAGGAAGGUGGGGACGACGUCAAAUCAUCAUGCCCCUUAUGACCUGGGCUACACACGUGCUACAAUGGAUGGUACAACGAGUCGCGAAACCGCGAGGUUUAGCUAAUCUCUUAAAACCAUUCUCAGUUCGGACUGUAGGCUGCAACUCGCCUACACGAAGUCGGAAUCGCUAGUAAUCGCGGAUCAGCAUGCCGCGGUGAAUACGUUCCCGGGUCUUGUACACACCGAGAU
rnacentral:rRNA from 1 species